rnacentral:rRNA from 2 species
GUUACCUGGUUGAUUCUGCCAGUA